rnacentral:sRNA from 1 species
AACCCCGUCUCUACUAAAAAUACAAAAAUUGAGGCCAGGCGCAGUGGCUCAUGCCUGUAAUCCCAGCACUUUGGGAGGGUGAGGCUGGUCUCAAUCUCCUGACCUCAGGAUCUGCCUGCCUGGUCCUCCCAAAGUGCUGGGAUUACAGGCAUGAGUCACCACGCCCGGCAAGAAGCAACUCUUAAAAAUACUUUAUUCCUUCCUCUAGGACACUUUAAAUGGUGAAAAUGGGCAGAUGAAUAGCAAUAAAUUGACCUUUGUUACUCUUCUGAGUUAGAAAAAUUCUAAUUUAGUACACUCUGAACAAAGUUUAUUAUACUUAAGAUGUGUUUUGAUUUGGUGUUCAGAGAGCAACCUGACAAUGAUAAUCCUGUAACUAUGAUAAAAUUGAGAAUAAAAAGAUUUUAUUUAGAAA